GUGGGGAGCAAACAGGAUUAGAUACCCUGGUAGUCCACGCCGUAAACGAUGUCGACUUGGAGGUUGUGCCCUUGAGGCGUGGCUUCCGGAGCUAACGCGUUAAGUCGACCGCCUGGGGAGUACGGCCGCAAGGUUAAAACUCAAAUGAAUUGACGGGGGCCCGCACAAGCGGUGGAGCAUGUGGUUUAAUUCGAUGCAACGCGAAGAACCUUACCUGGCCUUGACAUCCAGAGAACUUAGCAGAGAUGCUUUGGUGCCUUCGGGAACUCUGAGACAGGUGCUGCAUGGCUGUCGUCAGCUCGUGUUGUGAAAUGUUGGGUUAAGUCCCGCAACGAGCGCAACCCUUAUCCUUUGUUGCCAGCGGUUCGGCCGGGAACUCAAAGGAGACUGCCGGUGAUAAACCGGAGGAAGGUGGGGAUGACGUCAAGUCAUCAUGGCCCUUACGGCCAGGGCUACACACGUGCUACAAUGGCGCAUACAAAGAGAAGCGACCUCGCGAGAGCAAGCGGACCUCAUAAAGUGCGUCGUAGUCCGGAUUGGAGUCUGCAACUCGACUCCAUGAAGUCGGAAUCGCUAGUAAUCGUAGAUCAGAAUGCUACGGUGAAUACGUUCCCGGGCCUUGUACACACCGCCCGUCACACCAUGGGAGUGGGUUGCAAAAGAAGUAGGUAGCUUAACCUUCGGGA
rnacentral:rRNA from 1 species